AUGGAGGUGGGCGACCUGCACAAGGUGUGGGAGAUCCGGGCGCUCAAGCGGAAGCCCGAGGAGCCGGCGGCCCGCGCGCUCCUCAACCGCGUCGCCAAGCAGGUCCAGCCCAUCAUGCGCCGCCGCAAGUGGCGCGUCAAGGUCCUCUCCGAGUUCUCGCCCAAGAACCCGAGGCUGCUGGGGCUCAACGUCAACCGGGGCGUCGAGGUGAAGCUGCGGCUCCGGCGCGACGGCCGGGACCUCGACUUCAUCCCCUACGAGGAGGUGCUCGACACCAUGCUCCACGAGCUCGCGCACAACGCGCGCGGGCCCCACGACGCGCAGUUCUACAAGCUCUGGGACGAGCUCCGCAAGGUCCGUAUCUUCAUGUUUCUGCUCUUGUAUCGGUGCUUGAAAUGUCUACGAUUCCACCUGUAUAGCGGCUCACUAAUGUCAGUGUAUGUAUAUAUCCGGUUGCUUGGAAUAUGUUGCUUGUGUGCACUAGGCUAUAAGAAUGCAGAUGUUGUGCAUAUUCCCUUGCAACCUAGCCCGUUUACUGAAAGCUUGGUUCAAUUGAUUUUGGGGUUAACGACAUUUAACCUGAAAUUUUCUUUAACAGUACAACGGAUGGGGCUGUUAAAUAUGAGAUUCCAAUUGUGGCAGUGCAUUGCAAAAUAA
rnacentral:rRNA from 1 species